rnacentral:rRNA from 1 species
AUACGGAGGAUCCGAGCGUUAUCCGGAUUUAUUGGGUUUAAAGGGUGCGCAGGCGGCCAUUUAAGUCAGCGGUUAAAUCGUGGGGCUCAACCCCAUUCUGCCGUUGAUACUGGGUGGCUUGAUUGCGGUCGAGGUUGGCGGAAUUCGUUGUGUAGCGGUGAAAUGCAUAGAUAUGACGAAGAACACCGAUUGCGUAGGCAGCUGACCAGACCGCAAAUGACGCUCAUGCACGAAAGUGCGGGGAUCGAACAGGAUUAGAUACCCUGGUAGUCCGCACAGUAAACGAUGAAUACUUGUUUUCGGCGAUAUAAUGUCGGAGGCAAAGCGAAAGCGAUAAGUAUCCCACCUGGGGAGUACGCCGGCAACGGUGAAACUCAAAUGAAUUGGCGGGG